rnacentral:lncRNA from 1 species
AUGAGGAGUCGUGGGAAUUUUGUCACCUGUUUUGGAGCCCUGAGCAUCUUCCGGAGCCGCCCUUCCCUUCGUGAGGGAGUUGGGAGAGGCUGGAGCUGCCUGGGAUGCAGCUCCUGCUCCUUCCCCCUCCUCGGAGCGGGGUUUGGUGCCAGCCCCUCAGGCCUGGGAAGGUUCAGGAUAUGGAAACCAUUCCUGCUCCACGGGAUAUUCCCUGCUUCGCUCUGUUUUCCUCUCCAUUUAUCCCAAACCUCAUCCCUGUUGCUCCUGUGCACCGCUGGCACCCCAAGCUGGAAUCGCUUGGGCUCAUCAGCUCCGCCUAGCUAA